GUCGAGGGGUAUAGGUUUUCGGAUCUAGAGACCGGCGCACGGGUGCGUAACGCGUAUGCAAUCUACCUUUUACAGAGGGAUAGCCCAGAGAAAUUUGGAUUAAUACCUCAUAGUAUUAUGAAAUGGCAUCAUUUUAUAAUUAAAGUCACAACGGUAAAAGAUGAGCAUGCGUCCCAUUAGCUAGUUGGUAAGGUAACGGCUUACCAAGGCAACGAUGGGUAGGGGUCCUGAGAGGGAGAUCCCCCACACUGGUACUGAGACACGGACCAGACUCCUACGGGAGGCAGCAGUGAGGAAUAUUGGACAAUGGGCGCAAGCCUGAUCCAGCCAUGCCGCGUGCAGGAUGACGGUCCUAUGGAUUGUAAACUGCUUUUGUACGAGAAGAAACACUACUUCGUGAAGUAGCUUGACGGUAUCGUAAGAAUAAGGAUCGGCUAACUCCGUGCCAGCAGCCGCGGUAAUACGGAGGAUCCAAGCGUUAUCCGGAAUCAUUGGGUUUAAAGGGUCCGUAGGCGGUUUAGUAAGUCAGUGGUGAAAGCCCAUCGCUCAACGGUGGAACGGCCAUUGAUACUGCUAGACUUGAAUUAUUAGGAAGUAACUAGAAUAUGUAGUGUAGCGGUGAAAUGCUUAGAGAUUACAUGGAAUACCAAUUGCGAAAGGCAGGUUACUACUAAUUGAUUGACGCUGAUGG
rnacentral:rRNA from 1 species